rnacentral:lncRNA from 1 species
GUCUUUAUAACGAAUUUUUCAAAAAGUGAUCAACAAUCGAUUGUCUAUAUUUGACAAUCGAUCGUCUUAUCCAGUGAGGUCCAGAAUUUUUCAAAAAUGACCAACAAUCGAUUGUCUAUAUUAGACAAUCGAUUGUCAGAUACAGUGAGGUCCGGAAUGUUUCAAAAAUGACCAACAAUCGAUUGUCUAUAUCUAACAAUCGAUUGUCUUAAA